GGGCCGCUAGCUCAACUGGUAGAGCAGCUGACUCUUAAUCAGCAGGUUCAGAGUUCGAGACUCUGGCGGCUCA
rnacentral:tRNA from 1 species